rnacentral:rRNA from 1 species
AUCUAUGGCCAUACCACCCUGAACGCACACGAUCUUGUCUGCUCUCAGAAGCUAAGCAGCAUCGGGACUGGUUAGUACUUGGAUGGGAGAUUUAUAGGAAAAUCCAAGUUAGCAGAUU